rnacentral:tRNA from 1 species
GUCAGGAUGGCUGAGUGGUCUAAGGUGCCAGACUCAAAGCAUUACCUUCCCACUGGGUGUUCUGGUCUUUGUGUGGAGGUGUGGGUUCAAAUCCUACUUCUGACA